GGGGGAUAGCCUUUCGAAAGGAAGAUUAAUACCCCAUAAUAUGUUGAAUGGCAUCAUUCGACAUUGAAAACUCCGGUGGAUAGAGAUGGGCACGCGCAAGAUUAGAUAGUUGGUGAGGUAACGGCUCACCAAGUCUACGAUCUUUAGGGGGCCUGACGANGGNUGACUCCCCCACACUGGUACUGAGACACGGACCAGCACUCCUACGGGAGGCAGCAGCUGAGGAACUAUUGGACAAUGGGUGAGGGCCUGAUCUAGCCAUCCCGCGUGAAGGACGACUGCCUAUGGGUUGUAAACUUCUUUUGUAUAGGGACAAACCUACCCUCGUGAGGGUAGCUGAAGGUACUAUACGAAUAAGCACCGGCUAACUCCGUGCCCAGCAGCCGCGGUAAUACGGAGGGUGCAAGCGUUCAUCCGGAUUCAUCGGGCUUCAAAGGGUCCCGUAGGCGGAUCUGUAAGUCCAGUGGUGAAAAUCUCAACAGCUUUAACUGUCGAAACUGCCAUUGCAUACUUGCAAGGGNUCCCUAUGGAAGCUGGGUCCGGCACGCAAGCUAAGCCCUGGGGACACCUCANAGUCAACAGCUGGAAAAGCANAGGAGU
rnacentral:rRNA from 1 species